rnacentral:rRNA from 1 species
AGUCGACGGCGCGCGGGGCACCUGGCGGCGAGUGGCGAACGGGUGAGUUUACAUCGGAACGUACCCAGAAGUGGGGGAUAACGUAGCGAAAGUUACGCUAAUACCGCAUACGUUCUACGGAAGAAAGUGGGGGAUCCUCGGACCUCAUGCUUUUGGAGCGGCCGAUGUCUGAUUAGCUAGUUGGUGAGGUAAAGGCUCACCAAGGCGACGAUCAGUAGCUGGUCUGAGAGGACGACCAGCCACACUGGGACUGAGACACGGCCCAGACUCCUACGGGAGGCAGCAGUGGGGAAUUUUGGACAAUGGGCGCAAGCCUGAUCCAGCAAUGCCGCGUGAGUGAAGAAGGCCUUCGGGUUGUAAAGCUCUUUUGUCAGGGAAGAAACGGUUGGGGCUAAUAUCCCCGGCUAAUGACGGUACCUGAAGAAUAAGCACCGGCUAACUACGUGCCAGCAGCCGCGGUAAUACGUAGGGUGCAAGCGUUAAUCGGAAUUACUGGGCGUAAAGCGUGCGCAGGCGGUUUUGUAAGUCUGACGUGAAAUCCCCGGGCUCAACCUGGGAAUUGCGUUGGAGACUGCUAGGCUGGAGUCUGGCAGAGGGGGGUAUAAUUCCACGUG